ensembl:lncRNA
AGAGAAUAUGUCCCAGCACAGCGGUGGAAUGAUAUGCAAUUCCCCUCUCUGAACAAGAUCGGUAUUGAACCAAAUGAAUUGCCUCUACGACACUUGCAGGAGUUCCCAACUAUUUGCAACUUCAUAAACUUUGCAAGGUCUUUAAUUAAGUGGAGAGUUAAGAGUUAAUGGCUUUACGCAGCUCUGUAACCACCAUCAAAUCGAGACCGCUUGAGCUCUGUGAUGCAGAAAGCAGCAAAAUUGGGGGCUAGCAAACAGCGUUGGAUCAGGGGAAUGCUCUAUUGGUAACCAAUAUGUAUUUACCUGUGACCAAUGGAGCUACACCUUGGAAACCGAUGCAUCGGUUUCUCUUCAAGCUUGGCACAGAAAGACAAGAGCAAGAAGAACUGACGAGUAACGAGAAAUGACAUCUGACGAGUGGACCGGGGCAAUGGCAGUCUGAUUAAGCACCGUAGUCCUGUCUUUACACCAGUCGGCUCCAUCAUUUAGUCUUGUUUGCAGAGGCAGAUUAGUUUUAAAAGGAGGUGGCUGCGUGUGUGGCGGAGGGGAAGGAGCUUGUCACAGCUGACGCUGCAGCAGAAAAAGAGGAAGGCAUCUCACAGGGAAAGAAGCGCCGACAAAUGACAUUGCCCAUGUCGUGGUGUCCCGCCCUCACAAGAACACGGGUACCGGCCCUGCUGUGCAGUUGCUAGGAGGG